AUGCUUAUUUGUUGUCAUGCACAGAGACAGUUUGCGCAUACUCAGGUUAGGGGAUGCUACCCGUCCUUCAUGGCGCAGUUUGAUAGUUUGCACGAGGAUCAAGUUAUAUGGGAGCCAUACUCGCCUCAGGCUAUAUCAUCGAGGUACCCAGUUGGGAUUUCUGGAUUGUGCACUAGAGAUCGGCACUUUUGGAUGACCAAGGCCAAGUUGGUGUUCGACGUGACGGUUGAGGAGAUGUCUCUUCAUAGGGUGAUGAGACAGUUCGGUCUAUAUCAAGAGCCUGCGAUUCUAGAUAUUCCACACUUGCCAGACCACGUGCACAAGUAA
rnacentral:rRNA from 1 species